UGCGUAAGGGACACCCUUUGCUGGUAGCUGUCAAGAUCUUACGGCCAGAUGCCACCAAGAAUGCCAGGAAUGAUUUCCUGAAAGAGGUGAAGAUCAUGUCGAGGCUCAAGGACCCAAACAUCAUUCGGCUGCUGGGCGUGUGUGUGCAGGACGACCCCCUCUGCAUGAUUACUGACUACAUGGAGAACGGCGACCUCAACCAGUUCCUCAGUGCCCACCAGCUGGAGGACAAGGCAGCCGAGGGGGCCCCUGGGGACGGGCAGGCUGCGCAGGGGCCCACCAUCAGCUACCCAAUGCUGCUGCAUGUGGCAGCCCAGAUCGCCUCCGGCAUGCGCUAUCUGGCCACACUCAACUUUGUACAUCGGGACCUGGCCACGCGGAACUGCCUAGUUGGGGAAAAUUUCACCAUCAAAAUCGCAGACUUUGGCAUGAGCCGGAACCUCUAUGCUGGGGACUAUUACCGUGUGCAGGGCCGGGCAGUGCUGCCCAUCCGCUGGAUGGCCUGGGAGUGCAUCCUCAUGGGGAAGUUCACGACUGCGAGUGACGUGUGGGCCUUUGGUGUGACCCUGUGGGAGGUGCUGAUGCUCUGUAGGGCCCAGCCCUUUGGGCAGCUCACCGACGAGCAGGUCAUCGAGAACGCGGGGGAGUUCUUCCGGGACCAGGGCCGGCAGGUCAGAGUGGAGGAGAGGGAAGAUGGGUCCGAGGCGGGGGACAGAAGGGGCAGAGUUGUCAUCUUGGAGACUAAAGAAUAUUUGUUCCCUGACUCUCAUCCACACUGCCACAAUGCAGGUGUACCUGUCCCGGCCGCCUGCCUGCCCGCAGGGCCUAUAUGAGCUGAUGCUUCGGUGCUGGAGCCGGGAGUCUGAGCAGCGACCACCCUUUUCCCAGCUGCAUCGGUUCCUGGCAGAGGAUGCACUCAACACGGUGUGAAUCACACAUCCAGCUGCCCCUCCCUCAGGGAGCGAUCCAGGGGAAGCCAGUGACACUAAAACAAGAGGACACAAUGGCACCUCUGCCCUUCCCCUCCCGACAGCCCAU
rnacentral:misc_RNA from 1 species